CUGUGUGUGUGUGUGUGUGUGUGUGUGUGUGUGUGUGUGUGUGCCCUGCUCGCGCACUUGUGUGCAUACACAC
rnacentral:miRNA from 1 species